CAUGAUCAUAAAGCCAUGAGGUUGCUUCUGGAAGGUUAAAAUUGCGCCAAAACAAAUUGUGACGAUGUUUGUGCUGUUGCAGCUGGCUUGUUUGGAAUAUCUAUCCAGCUCAAAAAUGGCUCCAGCGGUUAGAAACAGGUGUUGGAUGGCAGAAUGGUUUUAUGGAAACUUCAAGCAUAUGACAGCUUAAUUUUCUUCCACAAGGCUGUGAGACCAGUUUGCAGGUGAUGCUAAAGUUAUCAGAUCUACAGCACCAGGUGACAUCAGCCAACACUUAGUGUCUAGCUUAUUGUCAAAAGAAAUGUCUGUGCGUCCUUUGUUAAACCAGAUGUAGCAAUGUGACGCGAGAGGCCAUAAUGUAUAAAUAGGUCUUCACCUCAACUGUGUCUGCUGACAUCCAGGCUGCAAGUUGCAUAUGUGACCGUGUAUGGAGAGAUGCUCACUUCACCUCUUGUUUACGCAGAAGAAAGGCUUCCACGCUGUCACUAGAUGAUUCUCACUCAUUACAAUGGCACCAUGAUGACGGUUUACAGAUUACAGAGAACCUAAUCUAACGCCUUUCUGCAACUAUUGAAUAAUUGGAACACAACUUGUGACUUUAGCCCAGUGACAUUAAGCUAGGUUCUGUCAUAGCUGUCUCUUUAAAGAUGAACAAUUAAACAUAUACACACACGGUGCGCACAGGGAAAAAAGGCGAUUAUGGCAGAAGUGCAGCAUUUUUCUUCGACUACCUUGAACGAUAAACAUGGAUGUCAUUUGGGUUUAUGACCUCUGGCUGCUAUUUUAAGUGUUGUGUUGCUGUGUGUCAAUAAAGCUUUGACUUCUCUUA